ACUCAUUCACUUACGGCCCAAGAAUUGUGAUGAAAACCAAUCUGUUCUUAUCAGCUUAGUACCUGGUAUGUAUUCUAUUUGUAUCCAAGAUAUUGCACUUAUUUUUGUGAUGCGGCAGAGUGCUUGACGCUUGCUUCACUUCCACCACGGGGUUGCCCGGUGUUGCAUUACACCCGGGAUCGGCCCACUCACC